CAUGGUGUGCUCUGGCUGUUCAAGGGGAUCCAGAACUCCAAGCUGGUCCCGGUGCUCAGAUCCCUUAGCGGGAGAGGACAGCUGUCAGAAUGGGCCCCAUUCCCCACCCAGCCCUUGACAUUUGACCCCUCCCCUGCUGAGUUCCCCCCGCCUGGAGCGUGCGCAGAACUGGUGGAUGCCUGGUCAGGGGGCCUCCUGCCCCCACAGAGCCCUUCCCAGUUGGCCUGGUAGUAGCCUCAGCAGGCCGCCUGAAGGGUGGUAGGAGUAGACAGCGACAGAACAUUCUGUCCCCUAGUCUGUGUGCCAGCCUCUCCCGCCCCAGGGCCCUUCCUCAACCAGUCCCCCAUUUAACACUUGCUUCAUCUUGAGCUCGCUGUGAUGGACUGGACUCCCCAGAUGAAGCACCUGGGGCCCCUCUGUGGACAGAUGACUCCAGUGGGGGUUUCUGCCUGUGACACAGCACGUGCUACCUCUCCCCGUACCCUUGAGCUCAAGGCUGCCAUGUGCACAUGUGCGGGUGGCGUGGGUGGUGUGCAGGAGUGGGGGGGGCGGUGAGAGCCAUGCGUGGACUUCUUGGUGCUGGUGGCUGGCUCGGAAGGGAGACACUCCUGUGUAACAGGAUCAGAUAGGAGGUGGGCCAAGAGCUAAGAAUAGGAUUGGGCAUAGGCUCCUGGCUCAGGUGGGGGUGUGCCAGUGCCAGCCAAGAAGUAGCCCGCUGGAGCCAGAGAACAGUACGGGGACUGAGGCAGUAGGGCCUAUGGCCUAGAGUUCCAGGGAAGGAGCAGAGUCCAGCUCAGCUCAUAAACAGAGCUGAUAGGACAAGGGCUCAGGGAAAGGACAAGUUUUGGGAUCUGGGGCGUCAGCACCAGGGGCAGGGGGUACACUUGGUGCUCAGAGGAAGCCCCCAUCCAGCCCCCAUGGCCUUCCUGGUGGCUGGGACCCUGCAGGUGGCCUCGCAGAUGGCAGAUGCUAGACAGAGUCUGGAAAGAAAGGGGAAGUACGGCCUGCAGGGUCCCAGGGUGGCUCUGACACUCAGCAGCCCUGGGGUGUUAGCCUCCACUGUUGCUGUCCUGGAGGGUGUGUUCCGGACCCUGGGCUUUGAGAGCUGCCAGAAGAGGGAGGCCUCUGUCCAGGGCUUCCUCGAGGAGCUGGCUGGGUUCCGGGAGCAGCUGGAUGCCCUUGGGGGCCCUGUGGGCUGUGCCCUCGUGGCCUUGGUGGCCCCCCGUGGGCAGCUGAGGCAGCCCCAGCAGUUGGUCUGGGAGCUGAGCCGCUGCAGGGCCCUGUGGGGCUGCCCCAAAGUUUUCCUGCUGCUCUCGACGACUCCUGGGGCUGCCCCUGAGCCCGGAGCCUUCCUCGCUGGCCUGAGCCAGCUCUGUGGCCGAUUUCCUCACUGGUCUCUGCUGCAGCUGCUGACGGAGGUCUUCUACAGGACAGCCAAAGAGUCAGAGGCCUCCUACUGCCCAGUCCUCCGGAGCUCCUUGAGGGGUGCACUGUGCCUGGGGGAUGUGGAACCCUGGGAGCCCCAGCCAGAACCCAGCCCCAGCGCUCAGUAUGACCUGUCCGGGACCAGAGCUGCCCUCCUGCUGUCCGUGAUCCAUGGCCGGCCUGGGGCCCAGCAUGAUGUGGAGGCUCUGGGGGGCCUGUGUCAGGCCCUGAACUUCAAGACCACCCUAAGGACAGACCCUACGGCCCAGGCUUUCCAGGAGGAGAUGGCCCAGUUCCGAGAGGGCCUAGAUGCCCACAGGGUCCCGGUGAGCUGUGCCCUUGUGGCCCUCAUGGCCCACGGGGGGCCACAGGGCCAGCUGCUGGGAGCUGACGGGCAGGAGGUCCAGCCAGAGGCACUGGUGCAGGAGCUGAGCCGCUGCAGGGCCCUGUGGGGCUGCCCCAAGAUCUUCCUGCUUCAGGCUUGCCGCGGGCGGCAGAGGGACGCUGGUUUGGGGCCCACAGCUCUCCCCUGGUUCCGGCGCUGGCUGCAGGCAUCACCAACCACCCCCUCACAUGCCGACGUCCUCCAGAUCUAUGCUGAUGCCCAAGGUGGGCGUGGCUUUCUGCUGGAGCCCGGGCUUGGCCAGGACUGGUGGGAGGGCUGUCCGGUGUGCCUCUCCAGGGCUCUGAUCGGGGUCUUGCCAAGAGGAUGGGAAGGAAAACCUUCCGAAACCGCAAGGGCCGCUGAAAAUCGAGGGCUUCUGCCCCUCCUUGAGCCUCAAAACAACACUGGAGGCAGGAAGGCAGGUCCUCUGGGGGCCCCACUCCAGGGAGCUCUGACCAAGCGGACAUCUUGAUGGUCUACGCAGCUGCUGAGGGCUGUGUAGCAUAUCGGGAUGAUGAGAAGGGCUCGGACUUUAUCCAGACUCUGGUGGAGGUCCUCAGAGCUGACCCUGGCGGAGAGCUCCUGGAGCUGCUGACUGAGGUCAACCGCCGGGUGUGUGAACUGGAGGUGCUGGG